AGUGAACGCUGGCGGUAGGCCUAACACAUGCCAGUCGAACGGCAGCACAGUAAGAGCUUGCUCUUACGGGUGGCGAGUGGCGGACGGGUGAGGAAUACAUCGGAAUCUACUUUUUCGUGGGGGAUAACGUAGGGAAACUUACGCUAAUACCGCAUACGACCUACGGGUGAAAGCAGGGGAUCUUCGGACCUUGCGCGAUUGAAUGAGCCGAUGUCGGAUUAGCUAGUUGGCGGGGUAAAGGCCCACCAAGGCGACGAUCCGUAGCUGGUCUAAGAGGAUGACAAGCCACACGGGAACGGAGAACGGGCCCAGACCCCCAGGGGAGGCAGCAGGGGGAAAUUUGGGGAAAGGGGGGAAAGCCUGCUCCAGCCAGCCCGGGGGGGUGAAGAAGGCCUUCGGGUUGUAAAGCCCUUUUGUUGGGAAAAAAAAGCAGCAGGUUAAGCCCCCGCUGUUCUGACGGUACCAAAAAAAAAAGCACCGGUAAAUUUCGG
rnacentral:rRNA from 1 species